AUGGACUUACUCAUCAAGAAGAAGCAUUUUGGCGAGGUUGUGACCUAUGUUCAUGUGACCGAGUUUCAGAAAAUAGGGCUCCCACACGAACAUAUCCUUCUAAUCAUGAAGGCAGGUAGCAAGUUAAAGACUCCAGAUGACUAUGACAGAGUCAUAUCAGCAGAAAUACCUGAUAAAGAUAAGGAAAUGACUCAUAUCCCAUAUAUAGGAGGAGGGAUGAUGGACGUCGAGUAA
rnacentral:rRNA from 1 species